rnacentral:rRNA from 2 species
GACUUGUGAGUGUCGGAUGCGGCGAUCUACGGGCAGAAGUCCGUUACGAUCAGCCCGUCCUGGCACCGUAAAAUUUGCAACUGGGUCGUCGCUGGCCUUAAUUGGUCGGCGGCGUCUGCUCGGUUGCUCGUUUACUGUGAGAAAAUUGGAGUGUUCAAGGCAGGCGUUGAUUGCAACUGAACAUGUUAGCAUGGAAUAAUGAGAUAGGGCUCCGGCUCCAUUUUGUUGGUUUCUAGAGCGUGGGAGUAAUGAUUGAUAGGGACAGUUGGGGGUGCUAGUAUUCAGCGGCCAGAGGUGAAAUUCAUGGAUUCGCUGAAGACUGACUUAUGCGAAAGCAUU